UACGGGGGGGGCAAGCGUUGUUCGGAAUUACUGGGCGUAAAGGGUUCGUAGGUGGCUCGCUAAGCCAGACGUGAAAUCCCUCAGCUUAACUGGGGAACUGCGUCUGGGACUGGAGAGCUCGAGUGCAGGAGAGGAACGCGGAAUUCCAGGUGUAGCGGUGAAAUGCGUAGAUAUCUGGAGGAACACCGGUGGCGAAGGCGGCAUCCUGGACCGGUAUUGACGCUGAGGCGCGAAAGCGUGGGGAGCAAACAGG
rnacentral:rRNA from 1 species